AACGAACGCUGGCGGCGUGCCUAACACAUGCAAGUCGAGCGCGAAUGGAGCAAUCCUAGUAGAGCGGCGCACGGGUGCGUAACACGUGGGUAAUCUGCCUCAAAGCCCGGGAUAACCUGCCGAAAGGCAAGCUAAUACCGGAUAAGCCUACGGACUCUUCGGGGUCUGAAGGAAAAGGUGGCCUCUGUAUACAAGCUAUCACUUUGAGAUGAGCCCGCGGCCCAUCAGCUC
rnacentral:rRNA from 1 species